rnacentral:rRNA from 1 species
AUUGAACGCUGGCGGCAGGCCUAACACAUGCAAGUCGAACGGUACAGGAAGCAGCUUGCUGCUUUGCUGACGAGUGGCGGACGGGUGAGUAAUGUCUGGGAAACUGCCCGAUGGAGGGGGAUAACUACUGGAAACGGUAGCUAAUACCGCAUAACGUCGCAAGACCAAAGAGGGGGACCUUAGGGCCUCUUGCCAUCGGAUGUGCCCAGAUGGGAUUAGCUAGUAGGUGGGGUAACGGCUCACCUAGGCGACGAUCCCUAGCUGGUCUGAGAGGAUGACCAGCCACACUGGAACUGAGACACGGUCCAGACUCCUACGGGAGGCAGCAGUGGGGAAUAUUGCACAAUGGGCGCAAGCCUGAUGCAGCCAUGCCGCGUGUAUGAAGAAGGCCUUCGGGUUGUAAAGUACUUUCAGCGGGGAGGAAGGGAGUAAAGUUAAUACCUUUGCUCAUUGACGUUACCCGCAGAAGAAGCACCGGCUAACUCCGUG